rnacentral:tRNA from 1 species
GCGGGUGUAGUUUAGAGGAAAAACGUCUCGUUGCCAACGAGAAGAAUAUGGGUUCGAUUCCCAUCAUCCGCU